GAUGAAGAACGCAGCGAAAUGCGAUAAGUAAUGUGAAUUGCAGAAUUCAGUGAAUCAUCGAAUCUUUGAACGCACAUUGCGCCCGCCAGUAUUCUGGCGGGCAUGCCUGUUCGAGCGUCAUUACAACCCUCAGGCCCCCGGGCCUGGCGUUGGGGAUCGGCGGAAGCCCCCUGCGGGCACAACGCCGUCCCCCAAAUACAGUGGCGGUCCCGCCGCAGCUUCCAUUGCGUAGUAGCUAACACCUCGCAACUGGAGAGCAGCGCGGCCACGCCGUAAAACACCCAACUUCUGAAUGUUGACCUCGAAUCAGGUAGGAAUACCCGCUGAACUUAAGCAUAUCAAUAAGCGGAGGA
rnacentral:misc_RNA from 1 species